GAUGAACGCUAGCGGCAGGCCUAAUACAUGCAAGUCGAACGGGAUUAAGAGGCUUGCUUCUUAUGAGAGUGGCGCACGGGUGCGUAACACGUAUGCAACCUACCUUCAACUGGGGGAUAGCCUUCCGAAAGGGAGAUAAAUACAGCAUAACAUAAUUGAGUGGAAUCACUUGAUUAUCAAAAGUCAGGGUUGAAGAUGGGCAUGCGUUCGAUUAGGUGGUUGGUGAGGUAACGGCUCACCAAGACUACGAUGGGUAGGGGAUCUGAGAGGAUGGCCCCCCACACUGGUACUGAGACACGGACCAGACUCCUACGGUGGGCAGCAGUAAGGAAGAUUGGUCAAUGGACGGAAGUCUGAACCAGCCAUGCCGCGUGCAGGAAGACGGGCCUCUGGAUUGUAAACUGCUUUUGUUAGGGAAGAAACUUCCGUACGUGUACGGGACUGACGGUACCUAAAGAAUAAGGAUCGGCUAACUCCGUGCCAGCCGCCGCCGUAAAAC
rnacentral:rRNA from 1 species